CGGCUCAUAUUAUUCCAGUUUUGUCGACCUGCUCUUUUAUCAUCUUCUAUGAUCUAUUCGAGCUAAAGGUAAUAAAUAACAGCUCUGUCUUGAAACAUCUUCAUGUGAACUCAGAGCCUCUGUGUACCCUGGGGCAACGUGUGCUCACCUCACUGGCUGUUGGAAAGCAUCUCAGUUAAUCGCAUUUUGUCUGAUUAAGUCUUACCAGUUCCCAGACUAAAGUCUAACAGUCUAGUAGUCUAUUAGUCUAAAGUCAGUUCCCAGACUAAAGGAUCUUCAGGGGUCUUUUCACACCGUUUUUAAAGUAUCCUUUCUUUCAGUUUCACCUCCCAUCUCAGGUAUAUAUUGAACAAGAUAUCCAGAUAUCCUGGCUGCAUAGUCAAAAUAAAUAAACAAACACUUAAAUAAACACUCUUUCUUCCAUAAUGCCAAUGCACACAAUGAAUUUGCGAAUUAUUAUAACUAAAUGUCUUUACUAAAACAAACAAAUAAAUAAAAACAGACUGUUUAAGGCUUCACAGUGUAAUCUACACGCUAUAUAUAAAACCUACAUCUACAAAUAAACAAGUCUGCUGUGAAGUUAACGCAUAUUAAUGAUCUGGGGGGAGAAGACUUUUAACACGUUGUACUGAACUGUUUGUGGAAAUGCGUGUUUACAGCUGAACACGCAGGUAGAUCUGUGUCCGAUCUAACAUCGCACAACGCAGCACAUGCCGAGAUUUGGGGUUUUAUUGUUUUGUUUUUUUUACUGAAGACCCUAGAUCUUUUGCUUCUUAGUGACACACUCAUAUGCUAUGUUCGUUAUUUUAUUUGUAUAUGUAUUUAUUAUUGUUUAUUUUAUUUAUUUAUUUAUUUAUUUUACAAAGAGUUUAAUUCUUCCAGUCUACAGGUUAAGGAAGAAUGCCGGUUUAAACCCGUUUAAAUUCACAGAUGCACUGCGGGCCCAAAUCAGAAGGAGAUCAGUGAGAUUGAGAAGAUAAUCAAAGCGGGAUUACUUUAAAACAUGAUGAUAAAACACAGCUGCGAGGACACAACGCAUUCACAUCACAUCAAGUCUUUUUUCUUCUUCUUAGUUUUUUUUUUUAAAUGAACACAACACAAGGAUUCUUACCUGGUCUGGAUCACACUAUUCCCGAGUUCUCCCAGGCACAAUUGUGGAUUUUAAAUGAACAAAGAAGUCAAAGCGUCGUCACUGACUUCCUGGGUAUCAGAUAACACCUGCACUGAUUCCCCACUCAUAUUCUCUCUGUCCCCUUCCCUCAGCGCUCAUUCUCUCCUCCACUCUGUUAGUGUAAGCUGAAGUGUGCAGUGUAUUCUGUCUGUCCAUGUAUAAACACACUACAGUGAACAGUGUACCAGUAUCUAGAGUAAACUCAGUGCUGCUCAACACGUCACCGUACUGCGCGUCUGUCCCGACAUCCUCCGCGGUAAUACCUCCACAUUCUUUCAGGUGGCGACGUCACACUCUCUCAGUGCUCCUUCAGGCCGAGUGAUGGUCACCACACACCGAGCACUUCACC
ensembl:lncRNA